rnacentral:rRNA from 1 species
CCUACGGGGGGCUGCAGUGGGGAAUAUUGGACAAUGGGGGCAACCCUGAUCCAGCCAUGCCGCGUGUGUGAAGAAGGCCCUCGGGUUGUAAAGCACUUUCAGUGAGGAAGAACGCCUGGUGGUUAAUACCAUCAGGAAAGACAUCACUCACAGAAGAAGCACCGGCUAACUCCGUGCCAGCAGCCGCGGUAAUACGGAGGGUGCGAGCGUUAAUCGGAAUUACUGGGCGUAAAGCGCGCGUAGGUGGCUUGAUAAGCCGGUUGUGAAAGCCCCGGGCUCAACCUGGGAACGGCAUCCGGAACUGUCAAGCUAGAGUGCAGGAGAGGAAGGUAGAAUUCCCGGUGUAGCGGUGAAAUGCGUAGAGAUCCGAAGGAAUACCAGUGGCGAAGGCGGCCUUCUGGACUGACACUGACACUGAGGUGCGAAAGCGUGGGUAGCAAACAGGAUUAGAUACCCUUGUAGUC